rnacentral:rRNA from 1 species
GACGAACGCUGGCGGCGUGCUUAACACAUGCAAGUCGAACGGAAAGGCCCUGCUUUUGUGGGGUGCUCGAGUGGCGAACGGGUGAGUAACACGUGAGUAACCUGCCCUUGACUUUGGGAUAACUUCAGGAAACUGGGGCUAAUACCGGAUAGGAGCUCCUGCUGCAUGGUGGGGGUUGGAAAGUUUCGGCGGUUGGGGAUGGACUCGCGGCUUAUCAGCUUGUUGGUGGGGUAGUGGCUUACCAAGGCUUUGACGGGUAGCCGGCCUGAGAGGGUGACCGGGCACAUGGGUACUGAGGUACGGCCCAGACUGCUACGGGAGGCAGCAGUGGGGAAUAUUGCACAAUGGGCGGAAGCCUGAUGCAGCAACGCCGCGUGCGGGAUGACGGCCUUCGGGUUGUAAACCGCUUUCGCCUGUGACGAAGCGUGAGUGACGGUAAUGAGUAAAGAAGCACCGGCUAACUACGUG